CUGAUCCCAAGAUGCCAAUUACAAAGAAACCAAAUAGAAACCGAGCCUCGCCGCUCUGACACGCGCACGGCGGCAAGUGGCAUGUUAAAUGCACCUCACGAGGGAAGGCUUUCGCUGAUAAACACAGAUGGAAAACACGCACACACUGAGUGAAAAGGGAAGACUGAACCUCCAUUCUGGUGUAUUGCUGUCCAGAGCCUUGGUCGCUCUUUCCAUAUACUCACAUGUGGCACUUGCUGCCACGGCCCACCUGCC